UAGGGUGAUUUCAUGCCAAGAUGCUUAACUGU
rnacentral:piRNA from 1 species